rnacentral:lncRNA from 10 species
UUUUAUAGUCUUUCCACUGUUAAAAGCAUUAUAUUACUCUAGUCUCAAAGAAACAGUGAAGGAGGCAUUGAAGGAAAUAGGCUGGUUGUUUGCUGUAAGAGAUAGAACGUAGGAUGCUGACCAGGAUGGUUGAGAAGGUGGUCAGCCCAGCCCAGAGCUGGUAAUCGGAGGGGACUAGUGUCUGGAGAAGCAGCCAGGUGUGCUCAUCCCUCAAGGGACACAGCAUGGCCAAGGGAGGUGGGAGCCAGAGGAGAGGGGAAACUGACCAUGACUAAGAGCCUCUCCUUAAACUCAGCCAGUUUCAGUGAAGGUCAUGGUUUCUAAGGUUUAGCUGUGAGACAUCCUCAUUAGGUUUUUUAAAGGGAAGGCGAGGGUUAAAGAAAGGGAGUCGGCGGCUCUACAGCAAUGCAGGUUCUAUGUUCAGCAUGAGACCUGCAGAGAUGGGGGACCAGCUUAAUGCCAGUGCUCACCACUGCUUACAGGCUGGGGCAAUUAUAACCCUGGGCAGGAGGGAUCUUGGGGAGCAUGUUGCCUGGGAAAAGGUUGAUAACAUGUUCCCACGAUGAGGUGGUUUGGCCCUUGUUCUGGCUGAAUGUGAUGUUCUUUGUACUUUUUUACAGCAGAAUGUAAGAAAGUCAGGUGGUUGGUCAGGCUGUUUCUCAUGGCCCAAACCCCCAUGGAAUGUUUCACUUUAACCAAGAUCUGUGAAAUGCAGGGGUAUGGGUGGAGGGUGUUUACAGAAUGGUGCAGUUUGGACUAACAGUCCUUAGGGCAGGGGCAGCUGCCUUUCCAGCCACCUUAUGUCUGCCUGGGCAUGUGGACCCUUGGGGUUGUGUCUGUGCUGACUGGCUAAUGCCAUGGCUAGAGGCCUGAGAUAGCCAGCCUGGCCAAUUCCACCUCCAGCAGUCUGGCAGGGUUGCAGCAGCUGUUAGGGAAGGGCCAGAUAGGGGGUGUGCAUGGACCACACUGUGAACACAUGCAUGAGUGACUAUGGCCCAGUCAGUGUCCUGCAGACAGGCAUCUGUUCUGUUAGGACAAUGACACAAAUACUUCAAAUGUCAUCUCACAAGGGGCCCUAUCAUCCCUUACCCUCAUCCCCCAGGGCAGUUAGGAAGGGGAGAUGACCCAUUUCCAAAGUGGGUACCGUUGACUGUGAGAGAGUUAGACUUCUUAAAC